AAAGGGUGUUUUUUCGUCUUCUUCUACCAAAAGAUAGUUGCUCUGGUUCAUGCAAAUCUAUUUAUAACUUAGCAAAAUAACUGAAAUUUAGCCCAGGCCUAUAAGUACACCACCUAGCGGUGGGUUACACCGCCCGGCGAUGGGUUACACCGCCCGGCGGUGGGUGCGAUUCUUAAUUUCACCCCUAAACGUUGUUGCUUGAGCGUUGUCCAGAAAACCCUCUAACGAGUCCAC
rnacentral:lncRNA from 1 species